UCCUAGACAAAUCAGAUCGCGUGAAGUAACAAAUCUUCCUCUUCUAUUCUCGAUCCAGAUUGAUAUUGCCCUUCAUAUCCGAAUCAAUCAUCCAAUCUCCUCUCGUUAGGCUUGAAGGCGGACGGAAAGGGGAGCGGCGAAAAGGCGGCGACGGACUGGCGAGUGGCGGGAAGGCGGCGACGGACAAGGGAGCGCCGGCUAUGCGGACAGCACAGAAAGGAGAAGAAGUAAGGCAGCGGUAGGAGGGCUGGAAGUCGUCUGCUAGCGUCCACUGCUCCUCGGGCCGCCACUCCGACCUGCCCGCCGUCGGUGCACUACUCCUCCGGCCGGCCAUCUUCUCCCUCGCCGUGCAGGACAGCAAGACUGACCACCGAGCUGCUGCUGGUGUUGUAUCAUGGUGAAAAAUCAGUUGGUCAACAAUUGAAUUGGACUAUUUGAACUUGCUAGCUGCUCUCGUACAAGAGUGUGCAAUGGAUUUAGAAUCCACCAAAUUACUAUUGCGAUUUCCAAGAGAAAGUACACAAUACUCAGCUGGUGUAGAUGAAUUUCUUUAUGUGUCUGGCAAUUUCUGUUUGGUGGUUGAAGGAAUUGCAGCUGCAACAGUUGAUACCUGGAAAAUACCGAUCUUGCUCGUUACUCAUCAGUUCCUAUGUCCCAGGGGACACAAGUCCUUUGUCAUAUUUCCAUGUAUCAGAAGGGUCGGAUCUUGGAAUUCCUGCCCUUACUUCAGAGACAGGAACUGCAGUUAAACUGUUUUCUGUUGA